AACGAACGCUGGCGGCAUGCCUAACACAUGCAAGUCGAACGAGACCUUCGGGUCUGGUGGCGCACGGGUGCGUAACGCGUGGGAACCUGCCCUUAGGUUCGGAAUAACUCCCCGUAAGGGGUGCUAAUACCGGAUAAUGUCUUCGGACCAAAGAUUUAUCGCCUUUGGAUGGGCCCGCGUUGGAUUAGCUAGUUGGUAGGGUAAAAGCCUACCAAGGCGACGAUCCAUAGCUGGUCUGAGAGGCUGAUCAGCCACACUGGGACUGAGACACGGCCCAGACUCCUACGGGAGGGAGGAGUGGGGAAUAUUGGACAAUGGGCGACGGGCUGAUCCAGCAAUGCCGCGUGAGUGAUGAAGGCCUUAGGGUUGUAAAGCUCUUUUACCCGGGAUGAUAAUGACAGUACCGGGAGAAUAAGCUCCGGCUAACUCCGUG
rnacentral:rRNA from 1 species